UACGUAGGGUGCGAGCGUUAAUCGGAAUUACUGGGCGUAAAGCGUGCGCAGGCGGUCUGUUAAGACCGAUGUGAAAUCCCCGGGCUUAACCUGGGAACUGCAUUGGUGACUGGCAGGCUUUGAGUGUGGCAGAGGGAGGUAGAAUUCCACGUGUAGCAGUGAAAUGCGUAGAGAUGUGGAGGAAUACCGAUGGCGAAGGCAGCCUCCUGGGCCAACACUGACGCUCAUGCACGAAAACGUGGGGAGCAAACAGG
rnacentral:rRNA from 1 species